UGUCAGAUAUUCAGCGCGAAAGUUUAAAACUUCUCAUUUAUUGUUUUGUCUGCUAUUAUUUCUUGAUAUUGGAAAAAUCACCGAUAAAUAAUUGGUGACAGCCAUAAUUUAGUAAAGAAAACCUUCAGAGGAAUUUUGAUACAUUUGUGUUUUACAGCGGGAAAUAAUAAUUAAGUAUGUCUCAAGCUUGCAGUGCGGACCAGCUAAACGUUUUAUUAAAUUUCUUGCACGACAACAAAGAAUUAGCCAGGGGCAUGCUCAGGACGAGUGACGGCAGGGCUCGAGCAAAGCGAUUGUGGAAGAUUUCGCAGUUGCUCAAUUCUCUGGGUGGUAGCAUAAAAACUGUGCAACAAUGGCAAAAGGUGUGGACUGACAGGAAAUACUUAGAGAAAAAAAAUGCAGCAGCUGUGCGCAGAGACCACACAGGGACUCGACGUGGACCUUCUUCUGCUUCCCUUGCUCAGUGGGAAAUACGGGUCCUCGAAAUAAUUGGUGAGGGAUUUGGUGGACCACAAACCACAGGUCGUGUGCCAGCCUUUCCCAUAAUUGUAAGCAUUUUUAUAAUCAUGUUAAGCUACAGGUCACGGUUAAAUGUUUAUAAAAACAAUAUUAGAAUGUAUUUAGUUGGUUGUUAAAAUGUUUUUGAGGUAGUGUUCUAACUU